GUGCCAGCAGCCGCGGUAAUACGUAGGUGGCAAGCGUUAUCCGGAAUUAUUGGGCGUAAAGCGCGCGCAGGUGGUUUCUUAAGUCUGAUGUGAAAGCCCACGGCUCAACCGUGGAGGGCCAUUGGAAACUGGGAGACUUGAGUGCAGAAGAGGAAAGUGGAAUUCCAUGUGUAGCGGUGAAAUGCGUAGAGUAAUGGAGGAAAACCAUUGGCGAAGGCGGCUUUCUGGUCUGUA
rnacentral:rRNA from 1 species